CAGGAGGGUUGCUGGCCGGUUCGCAGAGCGGGGGCUGGCUUCUGUCGCCUCUCGCCUCGAUAAAACAUUUCUGCAGUAAAUCAUCCAUCCACUGCAAGGACAGCUGUUCUUCUUCAUGAGUUUGUUCAGAGUCUCUACUUUUUUGGAAUGGAUACCAUACAAUAUGUUACCUGCCUCCAAGCGCAGAGGAAGACACCUUUCUUCUAGACCUGAAGAAGGAUGCAGGAAAGCAUAAGGGCCUUAAUGCUGUCCUAUGAUUUUUGUAUUUUGUAGAUACCUGUGCUUAGGGAAGCAAAAGGUACCAAGUUCCCUGAAAACGGAUAAAUUGUUCACAAACUAUAGAGGUGUAUUGAGUAAUUUCAGAUGCUUUACUUUUCAGGCUGCUGAUGGCAUGGUCUAAGUUUUUAGGUGAUAGAAAUACCAGAUUGGAAGGAAUAUUAUGUAUAAGAUAUUUUCACAUAUGCUAAUGUGCAACCAAGUCAAAGCUGAGUAAGACUGCCAAGCAGUCUGAAUUGUACUAAUUCACUGAUCAACAUGGGCUUUCAGUAGCUGGACCUGUUGAGCCACCAUCGGUACUUGGAUUCAGACAUGAAGAAAUGUAGAUAUUUUAGACCUCGUGUUUAUAUUGAAGUAUCUGUUAGAGACCUUAAUCAGGAUUUGGGUGUUUCUCUGCCCUGUUCAGACACUUACCAAAACUACAGUCAUUCACUGAUGAUAAUUUGCUUUGAAAACUCCAAAAGAAAACAAGAUGUAUGGAAUUGUGCACAUGUAGAAGCAUCAAGACAUGUGGCAACACUUUUUAUGCCUUUAUCCAAGUGUUUCAGAAUGAUUUACAAGCAUUAAUUAAUAAUCACUUCGGCAGCGUAAUGCCUUCUGCCCAUCCAGUAAAUAUUACCAAAACAGGGAUCUUUCUUAUCAGAGCGCUGCUAGGAAUAGAGGAUUUCGUCUCUGCCUUUGCUAUUUCCACGCUUACCACUGAAUCAAUAUUGUUUACGCAGAAACAGCAUUAUAGGCAAUGACAGCAUCUUAUUCCUGUGCUGGGAGAAAGAGGACAGUGGUUUGAUCAGUCGGAAGAUUCAUGGAGAGGAAAUGGGAAAUGCGUGAAAGCCAAACAUCGGAAAGGGGCUAUGAGAAGGCAUGGGAAAGAAUGGACCUGAGAGAAGACAUUUUUAAUGGUGGAGAAUGUGUGGAAAAAAUGGAAGCAAUCAGAGACUGAUAAUUAACAAAAGGCAGAGCUUGGAGGAUCACAGAGGAAGAUGAACAGUGAGGGGGAAGAGGGGUGAAAACACAAGAUAACAUUCUGCAAGCAAAAUGAAGUGACUCAGGAAAGAAAAUGUGACUUGGAGAGAGAGCGAGCGAGUGAGAGGGCAAGAGAGACAGCAGGUAUAUUAGAGUGUGGGAAAUGUGCAUUCAAGAAAUGCUAAAAAAAACAAAGCCCCCCAACCAAAUCUGAAAAGUUGAAAUGGGAAAUAUCCAGAACUGAGUAUCUUGGAGUUUGGAAGAAGAAUGUGGGAGUUUUCAGGUGCAAACCGAAACCAGUCUAGUCAUUCACGUCAGAUGGCUGUUUGUUGACCUGAACUGUACUGUUUGGUG
ensembl:lncRNA